rnacentral:rRNA from 1 species
CCUACGGGUGGCAGCAGUGAGGAAUAUUGGUCAAUGGGCGCGAGUCUGAACCAGCCAAGUAGCGUGAAGGAUGACUGCCCUACGGGUUGUAAACUUCUUUUAUAUGGGAAUAAAGUGUGCCACGUGUGGGUUUUUGUCUGUACCUUAUGAAUAAGGAUCGACUAACUCCGUGCCAGCAGCCGCGGUAAUACGGAGGAUCCGAUCGUUAUCCGGAUUUAUUGGGUUUAAAGGGAGCGUAGGUGGAUUGUUAAGUCAGUUGUGAAAGUUUGCGGCUCAACCGUAAAAUUGCAGUUGAAACUGGCAGUCUUGAGUACAGUAGAGGUAGGCGGAAUUCGUGGUGUAGCGGUGAAAUGCUUAGAUAUCACGAAGAACUCCGAUUGCGAAGGCAGCUUACUAAACUGCCACUGACACUGAUGCUCGAAAGUGUGGGUAUCAAACAGGAUUAGAUACCCGGGUAGUC